rnacentral:tRNA from 1 species
AAAGAUUUAAGUUAGUUAAACUAAGAACCUUCAAAGUUCUAAACAGAAGUUAAAUCUUCUAAUCUUUG